rnacentral:rRNA from 1 species
AGCAGCCGCGGUAAUUCCAGCUCCAAUAGCGUAUAUUAAAGUUGUUGCAGUUAAAAAGCUCGUAGUUGAAUUUCGGGGUUAGUAGGUCGGUCAUGCCACUGGUAUGUACUGGUCUCACUGAUUCCUCCUUCCUGAUGAACCGUAAUGCCAUUAAUUUGGUGUUGCGGGGAGACUGGACUGUUACUUUGAAAAAAUUAGAGUGUUUAAAGCAGGCUAACGCUUGAAUACAUUAGCAUGGAAUAAUGAAAUAGGACGUUCGAUCCUAUUUUGUUGGUUUCUAGGAUUGACGUAAUGAUUAAUAGGGAUAGUUGGGGGCAUUAGUAUUCAAUUGUCAGAGGUGAAAUUCUUGGAUUUAUUGAAGACUAACUACUGCGAAAGCAUUUGCCAAGGAUGUUUUCAUUAAUCAAGAACGAAAGUUAGGGGAUCGAAGACGAUCAGAUACCGUCGUAGUCUUAACCAUAAACUAUGCCGACUAGGGAUCGGAUGAUGUUAAUUUUUUAAUGACUCAUUCGGCGCCUUA